rnacentral:misc_RNA from 1 species
GAUGAAGAACGUAGCGAAAUGCGAUAAGUAAUGUGAAUUGCAGAACUCAGUGAAUCAUCGAAUCUUUGAACGCACAUUGCGCCCCCUGGCAUUCCGGGGGGCAUGCCUGUCCGAGCGUCAUUUCUGCCCUCCAGCCCGGCUGGGUGUUGGGCGCUGUCCCCCCGGGGACACGCCCCAAAGGCAGUGGCGGCGCCGCGUCGGGUCCUCGAGCGUAUGGGGCUUUGUCACCCGCUCGGGACGGACUCGUCGGCGCUGGUCUUCCUCCAGGCGACCCUUCGGGGCUCGUCUUCCUUCGGUUGACCUCGGAUCAGGUAGGGUUACCCGCUGAACUUAAGCAUAUCAAUAAGCGGACGA